rnacentral:rRNA from 1 species
GAUUCGUCACACUAUCAUUAACUGAAUCCAUAGGUUAAUGAGGCGAACCGGGGGAACUGAAACAUCUAAGUACCCCGAGGAAAAGAAAUCAACCGAGAUUCCCCCAGUAGCGGCGAGCGAACGGGGAGGAGCCCAGAGCCUGAAUCAGCAUGUGUGUUAGUGGAAGCGUCUGGAAAGGCGCGCGAUACAGGGUGACAGCCCCGUACACAAAAGCGCAUGUGCUGUGAGCUCGAUGAGUAGGGCGGGACACGUGGUAUCCUGUCUGAAUAUGGGGGGACCAUCCUCCAAGGCUAAAUACUCCUGACUGACCGAUAGUGAACCAGUACCGUGAGGGAAAGGCGAAAAGAACCCCGGCGAGGGGAGUGAAAAAGAACCUGAAACCGUGUACGUACAAGCAGUGGGAGCACAGGUUUACCUGUGUGACUGCGUACCUUUUGUAUAAUGGGUCAGCGACUUAUAUUCUGUAGCAAGGUUAACCGUAUAGGGGAGCCGGAGGGAAACCGAGUCUUAAUUGGGCGUUAAGUUGCAGGGUAUAGACCCGAAACCCGGUGAUCUAGCCAUGGGCAGGUUGAAGGUUGGGUAACACUAACUGGAGGACCGAACCGACUAAUGUUGAAAAAUUAGCGGAUGACCUGUGGCUGGGGGUGAAAGGCCAAUCAAACCGGGAGAUAGCUGGUUCUCCCCGAAAGCUAUUUAGGUAGCGCCUCGUGAAUUCAUCUCCGGGGGUAGAGCACUGUUUCGGCUAGGGGGCCAUCCCGGCUUACCAACCCGAUGCAAACUGCGAAUACCGGAGAAUGUUAUCACGGGAGACACACGGCGGGUGCUAACGUCCGUCGUGAAGAGGGAAACAACCCAGACCGCCAGCUAAGGUCCCAAAGUCAUGGUUAAGUGGGAAACGAUGUGGGAAGGCCCAGACAGCCAGGAUGUUGGCUUAGAAGCAGCCAUCAUUUAAAGAAAGCGUAAUAGCUCACUGGUCGAGUCGGCCUGCGCGGAAGAUGUAACGGGGCUAAACCAUGCACCGAAGCUGCGGCAGCGAACGUAUCACCCAAGACAACUUUACGGAGUUGACGAUUGACGGAGCGAAGCGACGUCAAAGCGUUCAUUAAAGUCGAGUUGGCUUAGGGAUACGUUCGUUGGGUAGGGGAGCGUUCUGUAAGCCUGUGAAGGUGUGUCGUGAGGCAUGCUGGAGGUAUCAGAAGUGCGAAUGCUGACAUAAGUAACGAUAAAGCGGGUGAAAAGCCCGCUCGCCGGAAGACCAAGGGUUCCUGUCCAACGUUAAUCGGGGCAGGGUGAGUCGACCCCUAAGGCGAGGCCGAAAGGCGUAGUCGAUGGGAAACGGGUUAAUAUUCCCGUACUUGGUGUUACUGCGAAGGGGGGACGGAGAAGGCUAUGUUGGCCGGGCGACGGUUGUCCCGGUUUAAGCGUGUAGGUGUGUGUUCCAGGUAAAUCCGGUUCACUUUAACACUGAGGCGUGACGACGAGGCACUACGGUGCUGAAGCAACAAAUGCCCUGCUUCCAGGAAAAGCCUCUAAGCAUCAGGUAACAUCAAAUCGUACCCCAAACCGACACAGGUGGUCAGGUAGAGAAUACCAAGGCGCUUGAGAGAACUCGGGUGAAGGAACUAGGCAAAAUGGUGCCGUAACUUCGGGAGAAGGCACGCUGACACGUAGGUGAAGUGAUUUACUCAUGGAGCUGAAGUCAGUCGAAGAUACCAGCUGGCUGCAACUGUUUAUUAAAAACACAGCACUGUGCAAACACGAAAGUGGACGUAUACGGUGUGACGCCUGCCCGGUGCCGGAAGGUUAAUUGAUGGGGUCAGCGUAAGCGAAGCUCCUGAUCGAAGCCCCGGUAAACGGCGGCCGUAACUAUAACGGUCCUAAGGUAGCGAAAUUCCUUGUCGGGUAAGUUCCGACCUGCACGAAUGGCGUAAUGAUGGCCAGGCUGUCUCCACCCGAGACUCAGUGAAAUUGAACUCGCUGUGAAGAUGCAGUGUACCCGCGGCAAGACGGAAAGACCCCGUGAACCUUUACUAUAGCUUGACACUGAACAUUGAGCCUUGAUGUGUAGGAUAGGUGGGAGGCUUUGAAGUGUGGACGCCAGUCUGCAUGGAGCCGACCUUGAAAUACCACCCUUUAAUGUUUGAUGUUCUAACGUGGACCCGUAAUCCGGGUUGCGGACAGUGUCUGGUGGGUAGUUUGACUGGGGCGGUCUCCUCCUAAAGAGUAACGGAGGAGCACGAAGGUUGGCUAAUCCUGGUCGGACAUCAGGAGGUUAGUGCAAUGGCAUAAGCCAGCUUGACUGCGAGCGUGACGGCGCGAGCAGGUGCGAAAGCAGGUCAUAGUGAUCCGGUGGUUCUGAAUGGAAGGGCCAUCGCUCAACGGAUAAAAGGUACUCCGGGGAUAACAGGCUGAUACCGCCCAAGAGUUCAUAUCGACGGCGGUGUUUGGCACCUCGAUGUCGGCUCAUCACAUCCUGGGGCUGAAGUAGGUCCCAAGGGUAUGGCUGUUCGCCAUUUAAAGUGGUACGCGAGCUGGGUUUAGAACGUCGUGAGACAGUUCGGUCCCUAUCUGCCGUGGGCGCUGGAGAACUGAGGGGGGCUGCUCCUAGUACGAGAGGACCGGAGUGGACGCAUCACUGGUGUUCGGGUUGUCAUGCCAAUGGCACUGCCCGGUAGCUAAAUGCGGAAGAGAUAAGUGCUGAAAGCAUCUAAGCACGAAACUUGCCCCGAGAUGAGUUCUCCCUGAGACUUAGAGUCUCCUGAAGGAACGUUGAAGACGACGACGUUGAUAGGCCGGGUGUGUAAGCGCAGCGAUGCGUUGAGCUAACCGGUACUAAUGAACCGUGAGGCUUAACCUUACAACGCCGAAG